GAAGGUAGCAGCCAGGCGGGCCACGGUCGUGGCCGCCGUGGCGGCAGUCGCACUGGCGGUCGCCCCCGUUCCCUCGGGUGCCGUCG
rnacentral:tRNA from 1 species